CCUUGUGACGUCAUUGCUUACGUCUGAGCUUUUGUCUGAAUGCUUUGCUGAGUCAUGGUGGGCCAUGUUGUCGGCCAUUUUUGUCUCUUUGCUGAUUCAUCUUGUAUUCCUUUCUUGGUCAAUAUGGGUCCUAUGGUUCUGCUUGCGUGAAAAAAUCAUCAUUGUCGGUGGAUAAAUCCACUGGAGAGGAGACAGAGCUUCUUGUUUCUUUUAUUUCUUCGAG
rnacentral:lncRNA from 1 species